UCUCCGUAGGUGAACCUGCGGAGGGAUCAUUACAGAGUUCAUGCCCUACCGGGUAGAUCUCCCACCCUAUGUUAUUAUUACUUUGUUGCUUUGGCGGGCCGUUAGGCUCCGGCCCGACUACCGGCCCCGGCUGGUAAGCACCCGCCAGAGGACCCAAAACCCUGAAUAUUAGUGUCGUCUGAGUACUAUAUAAUAGUUAAAACUUUCAACAACGGAUCUCUUGGUUCUG
rnacentral:misc_RNA from 1 species